rfam:Cyanothece sp. PCC 7822 plasmid Cy782202, complete sequence.
AGGAGCCGUAUGAACGAAAGUCUCAUGUACGGUUCUGAAGACGAGUGUAAAUGGUGACAUUUAUGCUUAGUUUAAC